rnacentral:tRNA from 1 species
GCGGAUGUGGCGAAAUUGGUAGACGCGCCAGACUUAGGAUCUGGUGGGGCGACCCGUGGGAGUUCGAGUCUCUUCAUCCGCA